rnacentral:rRNA from 1 species
UGCCAGCCGCCGCGGUAAUACGUAUGGUGCAAGCGUUAUCCGGAUUUACUGGGUGUAAAGGGUGAGUAGGCGGUUAUGCAAGUCAUAUGUGAAAUUCUGGGGCUCAACCUCAGAGCUGCAUAAGAAACUGUGUAACUAGAGUACAGGAGAGGUAAGCGGAAUUCCUAGUGUAGCGGUGAAAUGCGUAGAUAUUAGGAAGAACACCGGUGGCGAAGGCGGCUUACUGGACUGAAACUGACGCUGAGUCACGAAAGCGUGGGGAGCGAACAGGAUUAGAUA